AUACGGAGGGUCCAAGCGUUAUCCGGAUUCAUUGGGUUUAAAGGGUCCGCAGGCGGGAAAAUAAGUCAGUGGUGAAAGCCUACAGCUCAACUGUAGAACUGCCAUUGAUACUGUUUUUCUUGAGUAUAGAUGAAGUGGGCGGAAUAUAUCAUGUAGCGGUGAAAUGCAUAGAUAUGAUAUAGAACACCGAUUGCGAAGGCAGCUCACUAAACUAUUACUGACGCUCAGGGACGAAAGCGUGGGGAGCGAACAGAAUUAGAAACCCUAGUAGUCC
rnacentral:rRNA from 1 species